rnacentral:snRNA from 1 species
AGAUGUGAGGNUGAUCUGGCUGCUACAUCUGUUAUCCCAUGGAUCGCCAAGGUUGAUUUGGCUAAUCUGGCUAGCUAAGUGUCCCUCUCCUCCCUCACCACUCCAUGUAUGACCCUCCCCACGGCUGUGCACUCAGUUGAAGAGGAUGAAGACCUUCCCCAAUAGAGGAGGACUGGNCUUCAGUCAAGGGUAUAGGAGCAGCCUCCAAACAAGCUCUCAGAGACACAAACCUGAAAGCCUCAUGU